CCUCCAGUUCCAUGGAUGACAUCGAUGGUGUGGACAUGCGCCCACGCUGAUGAUGACAUCGUCGACUCCGACCUCAACCUCUACUAUGAGGCCAUACACCAUGACUACCCACAGAAGGUGCUAUGUAAGUGGAGGAAGGUUUUUGGCGUCGCUGUAGGAGAAAGAUUUUCUUUGGUGAGUUGAAGGAAGAAGCCUGGGACUCCAGAGUGUUUCGACUGGCUGUUUUAGCAAUGGAGGAGAACCGUUUUAGUCUGUGAGCUGAUGUUUGUAGUAUUCAGGAAUGGGCUCUUGUUUGCUUAUGGUGUGACCGAAGAAGACCGAGGGCAUGAUGAUGGAUGGAGCCCUUGGUUGUUGUUUCUCAAGAUUAGUUACUUGUAUUGACAAUUGAUGUGCUGUGUUGGCAGGGUGGGGAUGGAUGCAUUGUACUCCCUCCGUUCCGAUUUACUCGUCGUGGUUUUAGUUCAAAUUUGAACUAAAACCACGACGAGUAAAUCGGAACGGAGGGAGUAGUAGGUAGGUAGGUAGUAGCUCUUAUAUAUCAUCCUCCCAGGUAGGUGUUGAUGGGUGGUAUAGGAGGAGACAGAGCACGCAUCAAAGUUGUUGUAUUUCUACUUGCAACAAUAUGUGAUAGUAUAAUACAGUUGUAUCAAUGCUUCUCAAUUUUCUGGCCAUCUGGAUCAAGAUGGCUGGGUGCAUUUAAAUUUCUAGCUAGAGAUCUCAUGACUUAUGUUUGUUGGUCCGAUCGUCCCUGGGAUGUUUUUGGAGAGCAGUUGUUAUAUCUCUUUUUUUAGGAACAUUUGAUUGUAUAUCUUGUUAUGGGCAUGUGGACAAAUACAAUCAAGGGCCAGGGAAUCUAAAGUAAAAGGCCUUGUUGAUCAGAGUUAAA